GUACUACUCCCUCCGUCCGGAAAUACUUGUCGAAGAAAUGUAUAAAAAUGGAUGUAUCUAAAACUAAAAUAUGUCUAGAUACAUCCAUUCCUCCGAUAAGUUUUUCCGGACGAAGGGAGUAUAAA
rfam:Triticum aestivum genome assembly, contig: Triticum_aestivum_CS42_TGACv1_scaffold_129903_2BL